ACGCGACCGUACGUGCUACGAGCAUUCUGUUUACGUCCCCGAAGAAACCCGCAUGCGCAGAAGAAAGACGCUGACGUCACACCUUCACGCUCUGUUUACAUAUUGAUGGUUUUGAAUGAUUCUGAACUGAUCCGGUUCAUCUGAGACCCAGAAUGGAUCCAAUCCCACAACGGGACCCAGAACUGAAGAGAGAAACAGUUAACAGAACUGGAGCGUCGAUUCUCUGGAUGACUGGAGCCAAACAAACCCUGAAAGUCUGCAACAAAAGGCCGCAAUCCUCCUCCACCAUCCCGGUCAUUCACUGGUUCCCAGUUAGACGGGGCGGCGGGACGGGGGCGGAGUCACGUGGUCCGGAGGCUUGUUUACCGCAACAAGGGGCGACCGAGAGAGAGAGGCAGCUUUUCCCACCGACUCAUUCAGAACCACUUUCACACGCCGUGCUGCCGACAACCGUCGCCAUGGAGACGAAGGGAUGACCAAGAGCAGCAGGAGAGAGAGUUCAUUACAUUUAUACCCAUGUGACCUGAAACAGGAGGAUGAGUAAAAAAAAGUUCAUAAAUCAUUCAUUUAAACUCAAUAAACAUUCAUUUCAAUUGCA